rnacentral:rRNA from 1 species
UACGUAGGGUGCAAGCGUUAAUCGGAAUUACUGGGCGUAAAGCGUGCGCAGGCGGUUGUGUAAGUCUGACGUGAAAUCCCCGGGCUUAACCUGGGAAUGGCGUUGGAGACUGCACGGCUAGAGUGUGUCAGAGGGGGGUAGAAUUCCACGUGUAGCAGUGAAAUGCGUAGAUAUGCGGAGGAACACCGAUGGCGAAGGCAAUCCCCUGGGCCUGCACUGACGCUGAGGCGCGAAAGCGUGGGGAGCAAACAGG